CCUACGGGUGGCAGCAGUGAGGAAUAUUGGUCAAUGGGCGUAAGCCUGAACCAGCCAAGUCGCGUGAGGGAUGAAGGUCCUAUGGAUCGUAAACCUCUUUUAUAAGGGAAUAAAGUGUGGGACGUGUCCCGUUUCGUAUGUACCUUACGAAUAAGGAUCGGCUAACUCCGUGCCAGCCGCCGCGGUAAUACGGAGGAUCCGAGCGUUACCCGGAUUUAUUGGGUUGAAAGGGUGCGUAGGCGGCCUUUUAAGUUAGCGGUGAAAGUCUGUGGCGCAACCAUAGAAUUGCCGUUGAAACUGGCAGGCUUGAGUAUGUUUGAGGCAGGCGGAAUGCGUGGUGUAGCGGUGAAAUGCUUAGAUAUCACGCAGAACCCCGAUUGCGAAGGCAGCCUGC
rnacentral:rRNA from 1 species